rnacentral:rRNA from 1 species
UACGUAGGGGGCAAGCGUUGUCCGGAAUCAUUGGGCGUAAAGCGCGUGUAGGCGGUCCGGUAAGUCCGCUGUGAAAGUCGGGGGCUCAACGCUCGGAUGCCGGUGGAUACUGUCGGGCUUGAGUACGGAAGAGGCGAGUGGAAUUCCUGGUGUAGCGGUGAAAUGCGCAGAUAUCAGGAGGAACACCAAUUGCGAAGGCAGCUCGCUGGGACGUUACUGACGCUGAGACGCGAAAGCGUGGGGAGCGAACAGG